rnacentral:rRNA from 1 species
AGUGAACGCUGGCGGUAGGCCUAACACAUGCAAGUCGAACGGCAGCACAGUAAGAGCUUGCUCUUACUGGUGGCGAGUGGCGGACGGGUGAGGAAUACAUCGGAAUCUACUUUUUCGUGGGGGAUAACGUAGGGAAACUUACGCUAAUACCUCAUACGACCUACGGGUGAAAGCAGGGGAUCUUUGGACCUUGCGCGUUUGAAUGAGCCGAUGUCGGAUUAGCUAGUUGGCGGGGUAAAGGCCCACCAAGGCGACGAUCCGUAGCUGGUCUGAGAGGAAGAACAGCCACACUGGAACUUAGACAAGGGCCAAAAUCCUACGGGAAGCAAGAGGGGGGAAUAUUGGACAAUGGGGGCAAGCCUGAUCCAACCAUACCGCGUGGGUGAAGAAGGCCUUCGGGUUGUAAAACCCUUUUGUUGAGAAAGAAAAGCAGCAGGUUAAUACCCCGCUGUUCUGACGGGACCCAAAGAAUAAGCACCGGCUAACUUCGUG